rnacentral:lncRNA from 1 species
CCUCCGUGUGCCAAAAAUAGGCCGCGGGUACAGCCGCGCCCAAAAAUAACCGCCCGAAGGCCGGGGCGCCAAGUUCAUCCAGCGGAAAAAGGCCACAAAAACGGGUGGGCUAUAGCCUUGGGGAGUGGGGCUGGCCACCUUCGUCCGCCGGACUCGGAAUGGCGCGAGACUUUGCGAGGCGCCUCCGUGUGCCAAAAAUAGGCCGUGGGCACAGCCGUGUCCAAAAAUAACCGCCCGAAGGCCGGGGCGCCAAGUCCGUCCAGAGGAAAAAGGCGACAAAAAAGGGUGGGCUAUAGCCUUGGGGGGUGGGGCUGGCCGACUUCGUCCGCCGGACUCGGAAUGGCGCGAUACUUUUCAAGGCACCUCCGUGUGCUAAAAAUAGGCCGUGGGCACAGCCGCGCCCAAACAUAACCGCCGGAAGGCCGGGGCGCAAAGUUCGUCCAGCGGAAAAAGGCCACAAAAACGGGUGGGCUAUAGGCUUAGGGGGUGGGGCUGGCCAACUUCGUCCACCGGACUCGGAAUGGCGCGAGACUUUGCGAGGGGCCUCCGUGUGCCAAAAAUAGGCGUGCGGGCAAACCCGCGCUCAAAAAUAACCGCCCGAAGGCUGGCGCGCCAAGUUCGUCCAGCGGAAAAAGACCACAAAAAUGGGUGGGCCAUAGCCUUGGGGGGUGGGGCAGGCCAACUUCCUCCGCCGGACUCGGAAUGGCGCGAGACUUUGCGAGGCGCCUCCGUGGUGCCAAAAGUAGGCCGGCGGGCACAGCCGCGCCAAAAAAUAACCGCCCAAAGGCCGGGGCGCCAAGUUCGUCCAGCGGAAAAAGCCCACCAAAAACGGGUGGGCUAUAGCCUUUGCGAGGCACCUCCGUGUGCCAAAAAUAGGCCACGGGCACAGCUGCGCC